UACAGAGGUCCCAAGCGUUGUUCGGAUUCAUUGGGCGUAAAGGGUGCGUAGGCGGCGCGGGAAGUCGGGUGUGAAAUCUCGGAGCUUAACUCCGAAACUGCAUUCGAUACUGCCGUGCUUGAGGACUGGAGAGGAGACUGGAAUUUACGGUGUAGCGGUGAAAUGCGUUGAGAUCGGAAGGAACGCCCGUGGCGAAAGCGAGGUCCUGGGCUCCUGCUGACGCUGAGACGGCGAAAGCCAGGGGAGGCGAACGGG
rnacentral:rRNA from 1 species